rnacentral:rRNA from 1 species
GACGAACGCUGGCGGCGUGCUUAACACAUGCAAGUCGAACGGAAAGGCCCUGCUUUUGUGGGGUGCUCGAGUGGCGAACGGGUGAGUAACACGUGAGUAACCUGCCCUUGACUUUGGGAUAACUUCAGGAAACUGGGGCUAAUACCGGAUAGGAGCUCCUGCUGCAUGGUGGGGGUUGGAAAGUUUCGGCGGGUGGGGAUGGACUCGCGGCUUAUCAGCUUGUUGGUGGGGUAGUGGCUUACCAAGGCUUUGACGGGUAGCCGGCCUGAGAGGGUGACCGGCCACAUUGGGACUGAGAUACGGCCCAGACUCCUACGGGAGGCAGCAGUGGGGAAUAUUGCACAAUGGGCGGAAGCCCGAUGCAGCAACGCCGCGUGCGGGAUGACGGCCCUCGGGUUGUAAACCGCUUUCGCCUGUGACGAAGCGUGAGUGACGGUAAUGGGUAAAGAAGCACCGGCUAACUACGUG